CCUACGGGUGGCAGCAGUGGGGAAUAUUGCACAAUGGGCGCAAGCCUGAUGCAGCCAUGCCGCGUGUGUGAAGAAGGCCUUCGGGUUGUAAAGCACUUUCAGCGGGGAGGAAGGCGUUAAGGUUAAUAACCUUGGCGAUUGACGUUACCCGCAGAAGAAGCACCGGCUAACUCCGUGCCAGCAGCCGCGGUAAUACGGAGGGUGCAAGCGUUAAUCGGAAUUACUGGGCGUAAAGCGCACGCAGGCGGUCUGUCAAGUCGGAUGUGAAAUCCCCGGGCUCAACCUGGGAACUGCAUUCGAAACUGGCAGGAUAGAGUCUUGUAGAGGGGGGUAGAAUUCCAGGUGUAGCGGUGAAAUGCGUAGAGAUCUGGAGGAAUACCGGUGGCGAAGGCGGCCCCCUGGACAAAGACUGACGCUCAGGUGCGAAAGCGUGGGGAGCAAACAGGAUUAGAUACCCGGGUAGUC
rnacentral:rRNA from 1 species